rnacentral:rRNA from 1 species
GUCCACGCUGUAAACGAUGGGCACUAGGUGUCGCGGGUAUUGACCCCUGCGGUGCCGCAGCUAACGCAUUAAGUGCCCCGCCUGGGGACUACGGCCGCAAGGCUAAAACUCAAAGGAAUUGACGGGGGCCCCGCACAAGCGGUGGAGCAUGUGGUUCAAUUCGACGCAACGCGAAGAACCUUACCCGGGCUAGACAACAGAGGACCGCCUUAGAAAUAAGGCUUUUCCUUCGGGAACCUCUGGUUCAGGUGCUGCAUGGCUGUCGU